UCUGGAGGCCCUUGUCAGGCACACGCGGCUGUCUCGUGGCUAAAUCAUAGGGAUAAGAAAUUUGGUUAUUUCUUAUCUCACAUUUUCAGAAGAGGACAAUGACAAGGCUGGAAGCGGUCCGGGUCAGUAAACCGGACAGCGAGAAAAAACGAGUAGAAACACAACAAAGUUUCACGAGCAAAUCGAAAGGCGGUGUUCCCCGGCGUUGCCGGCGGGCGCGAAAAGAUACAACGGAACGAAGCAAGGGCGCAUGGAGGAUGCCUUGGCUCUCGGAGGCGAUGAAGGACGUGACAAGCUGCGAAAAGCUGCGGGGAGUGGCAAAUACACCUAGAUCCGCAGAUGUC
rnacentral:misc_RNA from 1 species